rnacentral:rRNA from 1 species
UUUAAUCUUUUUAAUACAUUAAAUGGAUACCUCAACGUUAAAAAUUAAAGAACGUUUGUUAAACGAAAUGUUGUAACGAGUCAAGCUAUUUUAACUUACAACUUUUCUAAAUCGGAAACGAGUUUUGAAAAAUUUAAACAGAUUUUAAUUGUCUCUCAAUUAAAAUUUUUAGAAACUAGUGAACUGAACCAUCUAAGUAACUAGAAAAAAAAUCAACCGAGAAUCCGUUAGUAGUGGCGAGCAAAAGCGGUAUAGACUAUUUUUAAAAGCUACAGGUAGUGUGUUUAAGACUUAAUAGCCAAAGAAGGUAGCAUAAAAUUGAAUAUAUGUAGCCCUGUAAAACAUACACCAAAAUUUUAAAAUGCAAAGUAAAAUGAUACAAGUCAUGUAUUAUUUCAACAAUGGGGUCCCACCCUCAAAGUCUAAAAAAUUUUAACGAUUGAUAGCGAAUAGUACCGUAAGGGAAAGGUGAAAUAGAAUUUUCGAAUUUGAAAAGAACUUGAAAUUUAAUGUUUAUAAUCAGUUGUAGCUUUAAAAAAGUGACAGCGUUCCUUUUGCAUAAUGAAUCAAUGAGUUUAUAUCAAUGGCAAGCUUAAACGUUUAAAAGUGUAGGCUAAAAAAAAUUGAGUUUUAAAUUGCGCUCUUUUAAAAAUAUUAUUAGUCUUUGAUAUAAGACCCGAAACUAAGUGAUCUAAUCAUGAACAGGCUGAAUUUAAAGCGGUAACGCUUAUUGAAGGGCCGAACUCGUGUAUGUAGAAAAAUACUGAGAUGAUUUGUGAUUAGGGGUGAAAGGCCAAUCAAACUUAGAGAUAGCUGGUUUUCUGCGAAAUCUAUUUAAGUAGAGCGUUUAAAAUUCUUUAUCUAAGGUAGAGCACUCGAUAAAUAAAGGGGACGUAAAGUUUUACUGCAUUUAAUGAAACUCCAAAUAUAGAAUUAAAAAGAUUUUAAACAGACAGACUGUGAGUGCUAAGAUUCAUAGUCAAAAGGGAAACAGCCCGCAUUAUUUGUUAAGGCCCUUAAAAAUAAUUAAGUGAAAAAGAAAGUAAAAAAAUUUUAACAAUCUAUAGGUAGGCUUGGAAGCAGCCACCCUUUUAAGAAAGCGUAACAGCUCACUGGUUUAGUUUUUUUGCAUCAAAAAUGUAUAGGGACUAAAAUUAUUUGCCGAAACAAUAAAUUUAAAACAAUACAAUUAAUAAUAUAAUAUUAAAAAAUUGAUUUUAAAUGGUAGCAGAACGUUUUGUAUAUUUAAGAAAGUUUAUAGUUAUAUAAACUGGAAAAAUCAAAAAUGAAAAUAUUGAUAUGAGUAGCGAAAAACAUUGUGAAUAAUAAACAUUGUCACCUUAAGUUCAAGGUUUUUAAGGGAAGGCUAAUCCUCCUUAAUGUUAAUCGGUCCCUAAGAUAAAAACGAAAGUUGUAGUUGAUGGGUAAUUUUUUUAUUAUAUUUUAACGUGACAAAAUACGAAUUUAAUUUUUAUUUGUGAUUUUAAUUAAAAGUUUUUUAGUAUUUUCAAGAAAUAGCUUAAAAUAAUACCGUACUCUAAACCGACACAGGUGAACAAAUUUAGCAAAUUAAGGUGCUUGAAUUAAUUGUAUUGAAGGAACUCGGCAAAAUGACUCCGUAACUUCGGAAUAAGGAGUAGCUUUCUUAAGUUAAAACUUUUGAAAGCUGUCACAAAAUCGAGGACAGCGACUGUUUAAUAAAAACACAGGUCUCUGCUAAUUUGAAAAAAGAAGUAUAGAGACUGACGCCUGCCCGGUGCUGCAAGAUUAAGAGAAAAGUUCUGGCUUUGACUUUAACCCCCAGUAAACGGCGGCUGUAACUCUGACGGUCCAAAGGUAGCGAAAUUCCUUGGCAUUUAAUUGGUGUCCUGCAUGAAUGGCGUAACGACUGUCCUACUGUCUCCAGUGCAAUUUCAGUGAAAUUGAAAUGUCUGUGAAGAUGCAGACUACUUGCGGCUAGACGGAAAGACCCUGUGCACCUUUACUAUAAUUAUAAAUUGUAAUAAAAUUUUUUUGUUGUAGAAUAUGUGGUAAGUUUUUAUUAAAUCGUAACAUAAGUUAUUCAUUUAAACAUCAAUGAAAUACCACUCUUAAAAACUUUUGUUACUCAUGAGUUUAAAACAGUUUAUAAUGGGUAGUUUGACUGGGGCGGUCGCCUCCUAAAGAGUAACGGAGGCGUACGAAGGUAAGCUCAAAUUGAUAAAACUCAAUUGAAGAGCAUAAUAGUAUAGUGCUUGCUUGACUGAAAGAUUGACAAAUCGAACAGGGACGAAAGUCGGUUAUAGUGAUCCGGUGACUCUGAGUGGAAAAAGGUCAUCGCUCAACGGAUAAAAGGUACGCCAGGGAUAACAGGCUAAUCAUUCUUUAGAGACCCUAUCGAUGGAGUGGUUUGGCACCUCGAUGUUGGAUUAUCGCAUCCUGGAGCUGUAAAAGGUUCCAAGGGUUUGGCUGUUCGCCAAGAAAGGCGGUACAUGAUCUGAGUUUAGAACGUUGUAAAACAGUUUGGUCCCUAUCUACCGUAAGUGUUAAAAAAUUAAAAGGAGUAGACCCUAGUACGAGAGGACCGGGAAAAGUGAAUCUCUGGUCAAUCGAUUGUUAUUUUAAUAGCAUAGUCGAGUAGCUAUAUUCAUAAUAGAUAAUUGUUGAAAGCAUUUAAACAAGAAACUAACCUUAAAAAAAUUUUUAAAAGUCGUAGAAGAUUAUUACGUAAUAGGCUUAAUGUGUAAGAGUUGUAAAACUUUUAGCUAAUAAGUACUAAAAUUCAAAUUGUUUAAGAUUUUAUA